rnacentral:lncRNA from 1 species
UGAUUGGCCAGCAGCAAAGCUAGGCCGUGUGAAAGAACAGCCUGAGCCCUGUCUGGAGGGAAACAAGCCAGCAAGAAAGAGGUUCUCCUCAGGGGUCCUAGAUCCAGAUUCCUUGGUGAGAGGGAACACCAAGAAGAUGGGAAAGGUCAAGGCAAAGUCUGGGUGAGGGAGAAGCUUCCAGACAGAAUGACAGGAGCAGAGCCUGCUAGGGGAGGGAAGGAGAUGGGCACGCUGCAAGAGCGACGGGAGAAAAUCGACUUCCUCUAAAAUCACGUGCUCAGCGAAUCAAGUUCAUAUGUGGCACUAAGUUUUCUGUUCCUGCCACCAUGCCUGCCGUUUGCUGUCAUGCUGUCCUCCCAGUUAUGGCCUUUCACCCUCUGGAACUGGGGCUCCAAACAAGCUCCCCCUUGGGCUUGUGGUAGUUAUUCUUGGUUGUCACCUUGACUACAUCUGAAAUGAACUAUAAUCCAGGAAUGGAAGGCACACUUGUGAUCUGGAUCUUGAGGCAGGAAGCCAACAUGCCUUUGAUCUGGAUAUUGAGGCUGGAAGACACAGACUUUUACAAGGGAUGACACACCUUUACUGGAAACCUAUAUAAACAUAAUAGAAUAAGGGAGGUUUCCUUCUUUGUCUGCUUGCCUUUGCCUUGCUAGCAAUCCAUUCCUUCACUUGUGUUGCAGCCUACUUCUUCAGGAUUUUAGCAUAUGCAGAAGACCAGCUGAGACAGCCAGCUUCAUGAGACUGAGCAACUACUGGAUUCUUGGACUUUGUAUUUACAGCUAGCCAUUGAUGUAUUAGUUGAACUGCAGCCUUUAAGACAUUCCAAUAAAUCCAUAUUUUCAUUCCAUAAGUUCUAUGCCUCUAGAGAACUCUAAUACAAGGGCAUAAUCAACAACAAAGCCAUUCACUAGAACGUAAGUCACUAAAUAUGACCUCAGGUUACUAAUAGGAAUGAUAAGGUUACUACCCAUAGUCUGUCCAUUGGGGUAUUUAGGUCCACCAUUAACUCUCAG